AAUCAACGCUGGCGGCGUGCCUAACACAUGCAAGUCGAACGAGAAAGUGGAGCAAUCCAUGAGUAAAGUGGCGACCGGGUGAGUAACACGUGACUAACCUGCCCUAGAGUGGGGGAUAACCUCGGGAAACCGGGGCUAAUACCGCAUAACAUCGCGAGGGGAAGAUCCUUGCGAUCAAAGGAGCAAUUCGCUCAAGGAGGGGGUCGCGGCUGAUUAGCUAGUUGGUGAGGUAACGGCUCACCAAGGCGAAGAUCAGUAGCCGGCCUGAGAGGGCGCACGGCCACACUGGAACUGAAACACGGUCCAGACUCCUACGGGAGGCAGCAGUGGGGAAUUUUGCGCAAUGGGGGAAACCCUGACGCAGCAACGCCGCGUGGAGGAUGAAGUCCCUUGGGAUGUAAACUCCUUUCGAUCGGGACGAUAAUGACGGUACCGGAAGAAGAAGCACCGGCUAACUCUGUGCCAGCCGCCGCUGUAAGAC
rnacentral:rRNA from 1 species